GAGGCAGGCUGGGUAAUCGCGGUAGCAAUAUCGAGGAAGGUCCGGACUCCGUAGGGCAGGAUAGCGGCUAACAGCCGUCCGAUAAGUGGGCUUCGGUCUGCGAGUCGAGGAAUAGGGCCACAGAGACGAGACUGCGACGAGGGCACAACAUGUUGUGCACAGUAACGGCUAUCUCCGUUACUUUGCUUUCUAGUAAGGCAGUCGUUGCAGGGUGAAACGCGGUAACCUCUAUCCGGAGCAACAUCAAAUAGGCAUACGUGAACCUUGUGUUCGAAGGGCGGCCCGCUCGAGUAUGCGGGUAGAUGGCUAGAGUGUGUCAGUAAUGGCAUGCCAAGAUGAAUGAUUGCCGACCAGCGUGCUGGUUUACAGAAUCCGGCCUAUAGGCCUGUCUCACAC
rnacentral:RNase_P_RNA from 1 species